CCUACGGGGGGCAGCAGUGGGGAAUAUUGGACAAUGGGCGAAAGCCUGAUCCAGCCAUGCCGCGUGUGUGAAGAAGGCCUUCGGGUUGUAAAGCACUUUCAGUGGGGAAGAAAGCCUUGGGGCUAAUACCCUCGAGGAAGGACAUCACCCACAGAAGAAGCACCGGCUAACUCCGUGCCAGCAGCCGCGGUAAUACGGAGGGUGCGAGCGUUAAUCGGAAUUACUGGGCGUAAAGCGCGCGUAGGCGGUCUGAUAAGCCGGUUGGGAAAGCCCCGGGCUCAACCUGGGAACGGCAUCCGGAACUGUCAGGCUAGAGUGCAGGAGAGGAAGGUAGAAUUCCCGGUGUAGCGGUGAAAUGCGUAGAGAUCGGGAGGAAUACCAGUGGCGAAGGCGGCCUUCUGGACUGACACUGACGCUGAGGUGCGAAAGCGUGGGUAGCAAACAGGAUUAGAUACCCGUGUAGUC
rnacentral:rRNA from 1 species